rnacentral:rRNA from 1 species
AUUGAACGCUGGCGGAAUGCUUUACACAUGCAAGUCGAACGGCAGCACGGACUUCGGUCUGGUGGCGAGUGGCGAACGGGUGAGUAAUGUAUCGGAACGUGCCCAGUCGUGGGGGAUAACGUAGUGAAAAUUACGCUAAUACCGCAUACGAUCUAUGGAUGAAAGCGGGGGAUCGCAAGACCUCGCGCGAUUGGAGCGGCCGAUAUCAGAUUAGGUAGUUGGUGGGGUAAAGGCCCACCAAGCCAACGAUCUGUAGCUGGUCUGAGAGGACGACCAGCAACCGUGGAACGGAGACACGGUCCAGACUCCUACGGGAGGCAGCAGUGGGGAAUUUUGGACGAUGGGCGAAAGCCUGAUCCAGCCAUUCCGCGUGCAGGAUGAAGGCCCUCGGGUUGUAAACUGCUUUUGUACAGAACGAAAAGGUUUCUACUAAUACUAGGAGCUCAUGACGGUACUGUAAGAAUAAGCACCGGCUAACUACGUGCCAGCCGCCGCCGUAA